rnacentral:lncRNA from 1 species
AGAUCAUCUGGACCCUCUGGAUUCUGGUCCUGUACUGACCUUCAAGCUGUCUCUUUCAGCUUUCUGUGCUGAGGCAGAAAAGAGGAAAGCUGGACCACACCCAGCCAGGACUACACGUGCAGGGUCAUCCAUUCCUUUAUUAGCAAAUAUUCAUGAAUGCCCACUAUGUGCAACACACGGUGCUUGGUGCAAGCAUACAGUGAUGAAUCAAGUAGAGAAGGCCC